rnacentral:tRNA from 3 species
GGAGAAUUAGCUCAGCUGGGAGAGCGUCUGCCUUACAAGCAGAGGGUCGGCGGUUCGAACCCGUCAUUCUCCACCA